GCGNUAAUACGAAGGGGCUAGCGUUGUUCGGANUCAUUGGGCGUAAAGGGCGCGUAGGCGGCGNUGUUAUUCAGGCGUGAAACCCUGGNNUCAACCCAGGAACUGCGCUUGAUACGGCAGGGCUUGAGGAUGGAAGAGGNCCGCGGAAUUCCCAGUGUAGAGGUGAAAUUCGUAGAUAUUGGGAAGAACACCGGUGGCGAAGGCGGCGGCCUGGUCCAUUUCUGACGCUGAGGCGCGACAGCGUGGGGAGCAAACAGGAUUAGAUACCCUGGUAGUCCACGCCGUAAACGAUGUGCGCUGGAUGUUGGGCGGCCUAGCCGCUCAGUGUCGAAGCCAACGCGGUAAGCGCACCGCCUGG
rnacentral:rRNA from 1 species